ACUUCUUCUCAGACUUUUGGCUAAGAUUAAGUGUAGUAUUUAUGCUUGGUAGUUUAAUAUUUCAUAUGUCCUAUCCAAGGACAAUGUAUUAAAUGGAUUUUUGGAACAGGGAGAUAGAAUGGGAUCUUGCCCUGUCAACUCCAAACAUUUGCUUGGUUUUGCAAGACCUCCAGGAAUGGUGCACCCCUC